rnacentral:tRNA from 1 species
AAAGUUUUAAGUUAAAUAAAACUAGUAAUUUUCAAAAUUACAAAUAAAGAUUUUCUUUAAGCUUUA